UCCGUAGGCGGGUCAUUAAGUCAGAGGUGAAAUCCCACAGCUUAACUGUGGAACUGCCUUAGUUACUGGUGAUCUUGAGUUUUAGUGAAGUAGAUAGAAUGUGUAGUGUAGCGGUGAAAUGCAUAGAUAUUACACAGAAUACCGAUUGCGAAGGCAGUCUACUAACUAACAACUGACGCUAAUGGACGAAAGCGUGGGGAGCGAACAGGAUUAGAUACCCUGGUAGUCC
rnacentral:rRNA from 1 species